AAUAAACGAAUUUCUGUGUUUUUGAUAAAAUUUUUGACUCUUCGUCUUAUUUAAAAAAUUUAUAAUUAAUAUUUUUAUUGUUACUACAUGAUAAAGCAUGAAUAGUACUUUACGUGCGACUAAUUUUUUUUUAAUUUUUUAAUAAUCUUUUUAAAAUAAAAUGGGUGGUCAAAUGCUCAAACUACAAACCAGGAAUGUCUUUUUU
rnacentral:pre_miRNA from 1 species